rnacentral:lncRNA from 1 species
CUGCAAUAUAUUUUCGAACAAUACCUACACCUUUUACGCCCAUUCUUUUACGUUUUCAAACCAGAACUGUGCGGAGAGUGCAAUAUGUUUACGAGUGCGUGUGUGUGGUUGCCGGGCCCGAAAGAAAAGGAGAAAUAGACAGAAGAAAACAAGGAAAGGCAACGCGGAAUGGAAAAAUAACACUGUUCGACAAAAUCAAACAUUUUUUUUCAGCUUCGAAGCAAACCAACUUGUUAGAAGAAUUUUUAAAUGGGUGUUCUUUUGUAACGGUAGCUCUUUAUUUUAGAGGUGGCGCUUCUAUUUUUAUCAUAACUGAAUCGAAGCGGAAAAAUCUUGUCGAGUAGUGUAAUUAUUAGUACUCAUUAAAUGGCUGCCAAAGUCAUAAGCGCAUUGCCCCUUUUGGUAAAUAUACAUACAUCUCAUGUAUGUACUGAACUACCUACACCUUUUACGCCCAUUCUUUUACGUUUUCAAACCAGAACUGUGCGGAGAGUGCAAUAUGUUUACGAGUGCGUGUGUGUGGUUGCCGGGCCCGAAAGAAAAGGAGAAAUAGACAGAAGAAAACAAGGAAAGGCAACGCGGAAUGGAAAAAUAACACUGUUCGACAAAAUCAAACAUUUUUUUUCAG